rnacentral:rRNA from 1 species
UGGGGAAUCUUGCGCAAUGGACGAAAGUCUGACGCAGCGACGCCGCGUGGGUGAUGAAGGCCUUCGGGUUGUAAAGCCCUGUGGGGAGAGAAGAAUGAACCAUGGCUAAUAUCCAUGGCGAUGACGGUAUCUCCUUAGCAAGCACCGGCUAACUCUGUGCCAGCAGCCGCGGUAAUACAGAGGGUGCAAACGUUGUUCGGAAUUACUGGGCGUAAAGCGUGUGUAGGCGGCACACUAAGUCUGAUGUGAAAGCCCUGGGCUCAACCCGGGAAGUGCAUUGGAUACUGGUGAGCUUGAGUCUUGGAGAGGAUGGUGGAACUCUCGGUGUAGAGGUGAAAUUCGUAGAUAUCGAGAAGAACACCGGUGGCGAAGGCGGCCAUCUGGACAAAGACUGACGCUGAGACACGAAAGCGUGGGGAGCAAACAGG